CCUACGGGAGGCAGCAGUGAGGAAUAUUGGUCAAUGGACGAGAGUCUGAACCAGCCCAGUAGCGUGAAGGAUGACUGCCCUAUGGGUUGUAAACUUCUUUUAUCUGGGAAUAAAAUGUUCCACGUGUGGGAUUUUGUAUGUACCAUAUGAAUAAGGAUCGGCUAACUCCGUGCCAGCAGCCGCGGUAAUACGGAGGAUCCGAGCGUUAUCCGGAUUUAUUGGGUUUAAAGGGAGCGUAGGUGGAUUGUUAAGUCAGUUGUGAAAGUUUGCGGCUCAACCGUAACAUUGCAGUUGAAACUGGCAGUCUUGAGUACAGUAGAGGUGGGCGGAAUUCGUGGUGUAGCGGUGAAAUGCUUAGAUAUCACGAAGAACUCCGAUUGCGAAGGCAGUUCACUGGACUGCAACUGACACUGAGGCUCGAAAGUGUGGGUAUCAAACAGGAUUAGAUACCCCAGUAGUC
rnacentral:rRNA from 1 species